CUUAAAAGUCUAAUUUGGAGUGGCCUUACAAAAAGUUCUCAAAAUUUUUGCAAACAUAUUUUUGCCAUUGUUAUCUACUGUGAAUCCUUUAAAUUUCCAGCUGAAAAUUUCAGCAAAUAUAGAACAAAGGUUAUUCCGAAUAAGGAGUGCAUAAUAAUAACACAGCAUAAAUAUAAAUUGUGUGUUUAUUACUGUGCACAAGUUCCUUAUUCGGAAUAUACUACAGCAUUCUCAUAGAUCUCGAACUAAGGCAUUGCUGCGAGAGCUGUCGUCGUCAAAUGUUUGUACCCAGAAUGCACACUGGGAUAGGAUUAUUUUAAG